UCGUUUUAAAUUAUAGGAAUCUCGAAUUGAUGAUCGGAACAGUUAAAGUUGAUUUAGCAUAUUUAUAACGUUUAGGAACUAAAUUUCAUACAUUUUAAAAUUCGUUAUCAAGUUUAUUAAAGAGUCAAAAAAUGAAUGGUAAAAAAUGAAAAACUUUGUGAAAGUAGAUGUUAAACUUUUGAAAGUAGAUGUUAAACUUUUUUCAAGUAAUAAUCAGAGUUAUCAAACAUUUUCUUAGAUAAUAAAAAAAAUUUUCUAUCCAAAAUUCAAGCCGUUUGGAUUGUUUUAUGCCAUUAAACAAGCAAACAGCUCAUAUUGGUCAUAAAAAAAUAUUGAUUUUGUAAUAUUUUGACCACUAUGUAAAUAAUUUUUAAAAUUCAUGAAAUAACUAGACACUUUAAAUAUUCUAGAUCAACUUUAACUACUCUGAUCAUCGAAUCAAAAUUUCCAUCAUCCAAAACAAUUUA
rnacentral:lncRNA from 1 species